rnacentral:tRNA from 1 species
GCCCUGCUUCUGAUAGCUCAGUUGGUUAGAGUGUGGUGCUAAUAACACCAAGGUUGCAGAUUCGAUCCCUGCAUGGGACA